UUAAGUAGGAUCAGGAUGAAGAAUG
rnacentral:piRNA from 1 species